rnacentral:rRNA from 1 species
AUUGAACGCUGGCGGCAGGCCUAACACAUGCAAGUCGAGCGAGCGGCGGACGGGUGAGUGAUGUAUGGGGACUGCACGAUAGAUGGGGAUAACUACUGGAAACGGUGGAUAAUACCGACUACUGUAGGAUAACCCAUAUGGGUGUAGCUAGUGGGUGGGGUAAAGGCUCACUUCGGCGACGAUCUCUAGCUGGUCUGAGAGGAGGAUCAGCUACACUGGGACUGAGACACGUCCCAGCCUCCGACGGAGGAGGCGGUGGGGAAUAUUGGAAAAGGGGGGCAAGCCUGAUGCAGACAUGCCGCGUGUAUGAAAAAGGCUUUGGGGUUGUAAAGUACUUUCAGCAGGAAGGCGUUACCCACAGAAGAAGCACCGGCUAACUCCGUGCCAGCAGCCGCGGUAAUAC